GGAGCCAGUCCAAGUCCCGAUCGUGAAUGAAUCCAUCGUCCAACCCCUCUCCUGAAAACACUCAUGGCGAGAGUGCACACGAUUGACAAAAGCUGGUCGUUGCGUGGUGCCAAAUAUUUGUUCGGCCGACAUAACUGCCUGAAAUUGGCUGGCAACCAAUUCAGGGUGUCCCCUGCCUACUGCCCGUAGUCAGCUGGGAUCGGCUCCAGCGCACCCCCGACCCAUUUCACUGACGUACAACUACAAGUUACCGCGGGAGGAACCAGCAGCGUAGCAGAGCCGAGCUUUCUGGACUGGAAUUGGCAACCAGCAAUGUCUGGUAGGUUUUCCGUGGUUACGUUAACUUGCUUGGUCGGUCUUGAUUUGUUGUGUUGGACUCAAUUGAGAAGAGUUCCAGAUCCAGGCAUUGUUUUGUCUUUCUGGUAGCAAAAUAGCUGGGGGAGGAGCCCCAGCAGGCCCCACUUACAGUUCAAACCUCUACAUACGAAUUGAAUUCGUUCCGGGACCUACUUUGUAUGUUCAAAUAGUCGUAUGUUGGAUUAAAUAUUCCCAUAAGAAUACACUUUAAUUUGUUUAAUUUAUUCCACAACCAAAAAAAAUAACCCAAUGAUAACUCCUUAAUAAA